ACCCUUGUCCUUAGUUACCAGCACGUUAUGGUGGGCACUCUAAGGAGACUGCCGGUGACAAACCGGAGGAGGGUGGGGAUGACGUCAAGUCAUCAUGGCCCUUACGGCCUGGGCUACACACGUGCUACAAUGGUCGGUACAAAGGGUUGCCAAGCCGCGAGGUGGAGCUAAUCCCAUAAAACCGAUCGUAGUCCGGAUCGCAGUCUGCAACUCGACUGCGUGAAGUCGGAAUCGCUAGUAAUCGUGAAUCAGAAUGUCACGGUGAAUACGUUCCCGGGCCUU
rnacentral:rRNA from 1 species